GCACCCUCUACAGCAAUCUGCAUGUGGAAUCUGUGUGCACAGGGAAUGCAAGCGUCUAUCUCCUUAGCUGGAAAGGUUGAAGACCAUCGAUUCGGUCUCCUCCUGGGAAAAUAUGAGUGGAUGAAAAAAUAAUUAUGAUACGUUGCCGCAUCAGUAAACAUUAUGCCUGUCAGGAAAGUGAUAGUGAACUUCCUUCAACAUUGAAGAUGACUUGCUUCUACUCCAUUACAAUGGAUUCUGGGAGCAAUGAUAAGCCCAAUGCGUGAUCUACAUGGCUUAGAUGUUUGGAUUUAUAAGAUCAGCAGUGACACGAGGAGGGAACAAUGAAACAUGAAGUUUGGGGCGUUAUGGUGGAAGAACAUUGGAAAAUUUGGGGCCUGGUCUAAUUCUGGGAGUUGUAGUCUGAUUGUUUGCAAUGUUACAUCAGAAUCUCAUAA